rnacentral:snoRNA from 1 species
UGCAGCUCUGUCAAAUUCAGUGCCUGCCCUACCCAUGGCAGGCACUGGCCCAAAAGGCUGCCAUAGAAACAUUGUAACUCAUGGGCCCUGUUCCUCUUUUCUGGGCCUCAGGGAUAAAUUUGGUUACAGACACUA